rnacentral:ncRNA from 1 species
UAUGAGGGGUGCUUGCAGGAACCGGCUAAAACCGGCCUUCAGGCUGAGAUUAUACCCAUUGAACCUGAUACGGGUAAUGCCGGCGCAGGGAAUUCUAUAA